CCCUUAGAGUUUGAUCCUGGCUCAGGAUGAACGCUAGCUACAGGCUUAACACAUGCAAGUCGAGGGGAAACGACAUCGAAAGCUUGCUUUUGAUGGGUGUCGACCGGCGCACGGGUGAGUAACGCGUAUCCAACCUGCCCACCACUUGGGGAUAACCUUGCGAAAGUAAGACUAAUACCCAAUGAUAUCUCUAGAAGACAUCUGAAAGAGAUUAAAGAUUUAUCGGUGAUGGAUGGGGAUGCGUCUGAUUAGCUUGUUGGCGGGGUAACGGCCCACCAAGGCAACGAUCAGUAGGGGUUCUGAGAGGAAGGUCCCCCACAUUGGAACUGAGACACGGUCCAAACUCCUACGGGAGGCAGCAGUGAGGAAUAUUGGUCAAUGGACGAGAGUCUGAACCAGCCAGUAGCGUGCAGGAAGACGGCCCUAUGGGUUGUAAACUGCUUUUAUAAGGGAGUAA
rnacentral:rRNA from 1 species